rnacentral:lncRNA from 1 species
AACACCAUGUGAUAUAUACCAAUAUAUAAUUUUAGGCAAUGCAUCUAAUUGCCUUUUGUUGAUGAUGAACCUUUGUAACAAUGAUCAUAGGCUGUAACGCUGUACCCAUCCGAAGGGUACGUAUACGCAUACGCCCUAGUCGCGUCAUCUGUUGUUAGUGUGUGAUUGACUGAUUGACACUUCGUCUUUCUAAAAAAGAAAAGACUGAUUGGCACUUCAACAUCAGAGUCGAGGAA